ACCCGACGCGGCCCCGCCGUGAAACCCCCAACUCUGAACGUUGACCUCGGAUCAGGUAGGACUACCCGCUGA
rnacentral:rRNA from 1 species